GGAAUAAAAGUCGUAACAAGGUUUCCGUAGGUGAACCUGCGGAAGGAUCAUUAUUGGAUUUUGAAACUUCAGGCUGCUGCUGGCUCUCCUCGGAGGGCAUGUGCACGCUUGUUGUCCAUUAUUUCUCCCACUGUGCACAAAUUGUAGACCUUUCAGUAGGCCUAUGUUGUCUUUCACAAUCUCUGAAUGUAAUAGAAUGGUUUUGAAUCUUGGGAAUUACAAUACAACUUUCAGCAACGGAUCUCUUGGCUCUC
rnacentral:misc_RNA from 1 species